rnacentral:sRNA from 1 species
UCUGAAAGUAUUCCAAAACAGCUCCACCAUCUUCCUUUUCCAUUUUUGCCAUUCUUUUUUGGUAUAUGUAAUUUCGAUAAUCUUUCUUCAAAAAAACCCAGAUUUUCUCGCCCCCAACUUCUCUACUUGAUAAUAUGUUUUUAUGGUCAAUUAUCCUAAAACACCAAUCAUGUCGUUGUAGUAUUUUAGGUGUCAAUCCAAAUGGGUAUGAUGCAAACAGAUAAAAUGUGAUCAGAAGUCACUAAGUCAAGCCAAGCAAUAACAGUUUUGGGGUUUCUAACAGUCCUAAGCGAACAUGCAGAAAACAGAAGCAAUAACAGAAUUACUAAAAUCACUCGACCACAACAGGCUGAUGCUAGAAGUAGGAUGUGGUCGAGUAACAGGUCGAGUAACAGACAGGAAACAAGACAAUCUUACUCGACUGCACAGUCUGUUGCCAGACACUGGGUGUGGUCGAGUAAGUUGGUCGAGUGAUUGUAAAAACUAAGAAACAGGCAAUGAGAACGAUCAAGCGAUAACGAUAAAACAGAGAAAUAAGAUAGACGAGAAAUUCCUAAGGAUGGGGUAAUCGAGUAGAGUGGUAUCCUAGCCUAUUCGAAUGGUUAACAAGCGCAAUCAAGCUAUCCCUAGACAACAGGUUCAACAACAGAUCAAUUCACUCCCGUGAUAGAAAUCCUCAAGCAAAGCUAGCCCAGACUAAUUCCCAUUAACGGAAUCUAACUAUGGAGGCAAUAAGAACAGACUGAUAAAGUCAAUAAACGCUCUAAACGGCCAAUCCCUUGGGAUAGAGACGCAUAUCUCAGGAACUAGUGGAUCAAGCAUUCCAUCGAACACCUUCUGGGUGCGGGAAUGCUUGAGAUCGAAUUCCAGUUGAUCAGAAAGAAAUAAGCAGUAAACGCAACUAGUCCUAAAGGGAUUUAAUCAAUUCUAAAACUUAACCAUUCUACAGACUACGGAUUCCACAACUACUCUAUCCCAUCCCUAAGAGUUCUAAGUCACUACUCAGACAACAUGCUCAAAGACAUAAACGCAGAUAAACGAUAAUAUUGCAUAAGUAAAGAGAUAAAGAGUAGAGAAACAAGAUGACAGAUGAAAUCAAACGCGGAAUCUGAAUAACUUGGAAAAAUCUCGAAUUACAGGUUGUAGAAGCAAAAGCGGCGCAGCAGAGUAAAACAGAAAAUAAAACUGAAGCAAAAACUCAAUGUCGACUGGAUGUCUCAGGACAGAACCCUAAGACAUCUAUUUAUACAAAACGAAAUAAAAUGAUAGUAGACGGGCCAAUAACCUAAUCGCUCGGCCCAUAGAGAGAUAAUGGGCCGAGAUGGGCUUCGUGAUCCGAUGGAGGUCCAGGCCGCUUCCAAACACUUUGUCUUCUCCUCUUCUCUUCCUUGUGCUCAGCUUGUCUAGUUGAGUGCGGAUUUGAGUAGACUGUGAAGACGUGAUCGAGUGUCCGGUCGAGUGAUGCUGAUGGUGGUGAGUGAUGAUACUUGACCAGGGGGUCGAGUAACUUGGUAGAGUGAAUGGUCGAGUGAUGGUGAUGGUGUGGCGAAGUGAUACUCGACCAGGGGGUCGAGUAGUGUCAUCGAGUGGCCUGAGCUGAGGUUACUCGACCUGGUGGUCGAGUGGAUGGGAAGAAUAGCUUCAAAGUCACUCGACCAGGGGGUCGAGUAUGUCUUCUGGUUCUGGCUCGUUUCUUCCAAUUUGCUUGCAAACAGCUCCAAAUCACCUGAAAACAACUCGGAAAUGCAAUAUGUAUGCAAAGCUAUCCUAAUCAUGCAAAGUAUGCAAGAAUGAUGAGAAAUGAUAUAAAACAGUGAUGAAUGAUACGAAACUGGACUCAAAACGAUGAUGAAUGGACACCGAAAAUAUGCAAAUUAUAGACAUAUCACUACUCAUCAUUUCAACGGUUGCUUUUGCUGAAAUCUCUGACAUCUCGGCACAUCUACAUGUUGUUUUUGAGAGAUAGUUAAUUCUCGAUUUCCCUUCAACAAAUGCUUCAUAGAUGUCCUCACUAAAUAAUGGUUAUGGUUCAUCUUGAAUGAUACAACCUUAUAUUUUCCGGUCUUCUCAACGUAGCAAGCCAUAUAAGCAUUACAACCACACCGUGUGAUUGGUUGUGAAUAUGAUUUUAUGACCUUAGGUUCUUUCCUAUACCCUUGUUUUGAGCAAACAUAAAGAAGCCUUACUACCUUCCCUUUUUUUCAUCUUCCGUUGUUUGCCUACAUUGAAACCAUGAUUGCCUCCAUACUUUUUAUAAGUUAUAUAUGCAAUCUGAUCAGAACUGAACUCCAUUCCAAUAUAUAUGUCAUCUUUCUUCUCAUUAUCAUUAUUUGCCUCUAAAGCAGCAGCCUCUUUAGUUACAACGUCAUCCUCGUUGUUAGCUAUUUCAUCUUCUUCUUCAAAUUCAUUGGCCGAAGCUUCGUUUUCCCUUAUUGAGUCAUAUUUUUUCUCAACCAAAAGUUCUUCACUUAUAUGAUUACUCUCCCUUGCAACUGUUCUUAACAUUUCCUGAUCAACAAGUUCAAUAACAAAAAAAAAGUUGCUCUAAAAAACAUAAUUCAUAAAACAAAAUUAACAUUAAAACUCAUACAUGUAUUAAUUAUAAUUAGUUGUCUCUAUUUGUUCACAACCAGGCUUAAGAAAUUUU